rnacentral:rRNA from 1 species
CCUACGGGAGGUAGCAGUGGGGAAUAUUGGACAAUGGGCGAAAGCCUGAUCCAGCCAUGCCGCGUGUGUGAAGAAGGCCUUCGGGUUGUAAAGCACUUUCAGUGGGGAAGAAAGCCUUGGGGCUAAUACCCUCGAGGAAGGACAUCACCCACAGAAGAAGCACCGGCUAACUCCGUGUCAGCAGCCGCGGUAAUACGGAGGGUGCGAGCGUUAAUCGGAAUUACUGGGCGUAAAGCGCGCGUAGGCGGUCUGAUAAGCCGGUUGUGAAAGCCCCGGGCUCAACCUGGGAACGGCAUCCGGAACUGUCAGGCUAGAGUGCAGGAGAGGAAGGUAGAAUUCCCGGUGUAGCGGUGAAAUGCGUAGAGAUCGGGAGGAAUACCAGUGGCGAAGGCGGCCUUCUGGACUGACACUGACGCUGAGGUGCGAAAGCGUGGGUAGCAAACAGGAUUAGAUACCCGAGUAGUC